rnacentral:rRNA from 1 species
UACGAAGGGGGCGAGCGUUGUUCGGAAUUACUGGGCGUAAAGGGCGCGCAGGCGGUAGGAGAAGUCAGGCGUGAAAGCCCCGGGCUCAACCUGGGAAUUGCGUUUGAUACUCUCCAACUGGAGUUCGGGAGAGGAGAGUGGAAUUCCCAGUGUAGAGGUGAAAUUCGUAGAUAUUGGGAAGAACACCGGUGGCGAAGGCGGCUCUCUGGACCGAGACUGACGCUGAGGCGCGAAAGCGUGGGGAGCAAACAGG